AGCUUUGCGCAGUGGCAGUAUCGUAGCCAAUGAGGUUUAUCCGAGGCGCGAUUAUUGCUAAUUGAAAAAUAUAACAAAUAUAACACAAUACCUGAGAUAGUUGAUGUGUAAAAAGAAAUUUUUCAUUUUUGCUGACAGCUUCCUGU